GCGGAGGGCGAUAGCACGUUAAAUGCACCCAGUUCCCGAUGAAUCACUCAAGUUAAGCAACAUUGCGCGUGGUUGGUAAAAGGAUGGGUGACCAUCUGGGUCAUUACGUGCGGCCGACU
rnacentral:rRNA from 1 species